rnacentral:rRNA from 1 species
UACAGAGGGGGCAAGCGUUAUUCGGAAUUAUUGGGCGUAAAGGGCGCGUAGGCGGCCUGGCAAGUGGACGGUGAAAUCCCUCGGCUUAACCGAGGAACUGCCCUCCAAACUGCUUGGCCUGAGUCCGGGAGAGGUGAGUGGAAUUCCCAGUGUAGCGGUGAAAUGCGUAGAUAUUGGGAGGAACACCAGUGGCGAAGGCGGCUCACUGGACCGGAACUGACGCUGAGGCGCGAAAGCGUGGGGAGCAAACGGG